AAACGUAGACCCAAUAGCUCUAUGCCUAUACCAAAGUUUUAGUCAAAAUAUUUUCUCCUCGUAUGCGCGCAGUGGAUGAGAAUAUAUAGAAAUGUUCAUGCAGAGGCAGGCUCAAUCACUCUAUAACCACUAAUGUUUGGAAGAUGAUCAUAUUUUCUCAUGAACAAAUAGAGACAUCCAUCCUGAAAUUUAAGAAAAACAAAUAAGUUGCCUACGAACCCUAUUCAAAACAUGUUUCCUGUUGCCUUUCGUUCCUAGAAUUUCAUAAAUUGUGGA
rnacentral:lncRNA from 1 species